GAAGUAAAAGUCGUAACAAGGUCUCCGUUGGUGAACCAGCGGAGGGAUCAUUACCGAGUUUACAACUCCCAAACCCCUGUGAACAUACCACUUGUUGCCUCGGCGGAUCAGCCCGCUCCCGGUAAAACGGGACGGCCCGCCAGAGGACCCCUAAACUCUGUUUCUAUAUGUAACUUCUGAGUAAAACCAUAAAUAAAUCAAAACUUUCAACAACGGAUCUCUUGGUUCUGGCAUCGAUGAAGAACGCAGCAAAAUGCGAUAAGUAAUGUGAAUUGCAGAAUUCAGUGAAUCAUCGAAUCUUUGAACGCACAUUGCGCCCGCCAGUAUUCUGGCGGGCAUGCCUGUUCGAGCGUCAUUUCAACCCUCAAGCACAGCUUGGUGUUGGGACUCGCGUUAAUUCGCGUUCCUCAAAUUGAUUGGCGGUCACGUCGAGCUUCCAUAGCGUAGUAGUAAAACCCUCGUUACUGGUAAUCGUCGCGGCCACGCCGUUAAACCCCAACUUCUGAAUGUUGACCUCGGAUCAGGUAGGAAUACCCGCUGAACUUAAGCAUAU
rnacentral:rRNA from 1 species